UAGCGAGCUCGGUUUUACCGGCUAAUCAGCGGGGUGCAGUUCUGGUCGUACACGGUUCUCUGAACUGCGUAGCCCUAGCGAGCUCGGUUUUACCGGCUAAGUCUUGGGAGUUCCAGUGUGUUUCUCUUCUUAUGCCUUGACUGGCGUUGCUCUCGCGUUAAGCAGGGCUGUCGUCUUGUGCUUGAGUGGCUGUCUUUGCGUGCUAAGCCCGUGUGUAUGCUGGGUGCCGCGUAGACUGUCUCUCGUCGUUGCUACCCAACUCCUAAAUUACUCACAACCUCACAUCAGGUAAGAUAACCCGCUGAACUUAAGCAUAUCAAUAAGCGGAGGAAAAGAAAGCAAAUGCGAUUCCCUUAGUAACGGCGAGUGAAAGGGGAGAAGCCCAUCGUGAAGGCCUGUUUCCGUGAGGACUCGGGCGAUGCCACGAUAGUUAAGCGGGUAAGCGGUUGUUGGACUAGGGCUGUAAAUCUGCUUAAGUGCAGUGCCAUAGAAGGUCGAAGCCCUGUUUCGGCCCUGGUCCUGUUGCUGCGCUACCGUUUAACAAGAGUCGGGUUACUUGAAAGUGUAACCUAAAGAUGCAGGUAGAUCCCUGCUAAGGCUAAAUACGUCCACCAGACCGAUAGCAAACAAGUACCGUGAGGGAAAGUUGCAAAGUACUUUGAAGAGAGAGUUAAAAGAACGUGAAACGGCUAACGGGUAAACGGUUGUAGUGGUCGGAAUAGUCGGCUGGCUUUCAUGAUUCCUGGGUUAAGGGUCUCUCUCUGAGAGAGCCUGUCCCGUGUAGGAGUCUGCAUUAGCCCGGUCGGUGCUGUCCUGCGGCGCUAGGGACGUGUGUGCUCGGCUCGCGAGGAGUUGUCGUGCGUUCAUUCCUUCGGGAGUGGAUGAUAAGCGCGGCUGCCUCGUGUGCUAGCGGUACUGUUCUUAGUGCGGUAACCCUUGACAGGGUACGUGAUGUGUGUCGAAGGCGCUGACCUGCGUUGGAGACGGGCUGUAGGUGUAAACCGAAUGCCUUUCUUCAGCGCAAUAGGUGCUUGAGACAGGCGUUACCGCAG
rnacentral:rRNA from 1 species